UUUAGGGGUACUGAAUUUGGGGUUCUAUGCUAGAAGCAAUAUUCUCCUAUUACUAUGUGUGGCCAAAGACAAUUUCACAGAAACACAGAAGUGAUGCUCCAGCAAACAUUGUGUUCAACUCUAAGUCAUGGUGUGCUGACACAGUCAUCACUCAAAAUGGCUGUAAUCAUGCCAUGAUCCAAAGCUGAUGGGCAACACUUUCAAAGCCUUGUUCUAAAUGAGAUGGCCAGCCAUUCUUAAAUAAACAACUGGUCUCAACACAGAAAGAAAUGCACAGCUGAAAAUUUUAGUAAAUGAAUUAGUUCAACCUGAAUAAACAACUACCUUAAAAUCUCCAGGUAAGCCAUUUUUGAAUUGUUGUUUUUUCAAGCACCCAGGAAGGAUAUUAGUUGAGAUUUACUAAA
rnacentral:lncRNA from 1 species